AGUGAACGCUGGCGGUAGGCCUAACACAUGCAAGUCGAACGGCAGCACAGUAAGAGCUUGCUCUUACGGGUGGCGAGUGGCGGACGGGUGAGGAAUACAUCGGAAUCUACUUUUUCGUGGGGGAUAACGUAGGGAAACUUACGCUAAUACCGCAUACGACCUACGGGUGAAAGCAGGGGAUCUUCGGACCUUGCGUGAUUGAAUGAGCCGAUGUCGGAUUAGCUAGUUGGCGGGGUAAAGGCCCACCAAGGCGACGAUCCGUAGCUGGUCUGAGAGGAUGAUCAGCCACACUGGAACUGAGACACGGUCCAGACUCCUACGGGAGGCAGCAGUGGGGAAUAUUGGACAAUGGGCGCAAGCCUGAUCCAGCUAUACCGCGUGGGUGAAGAAGGCCUUCGGGUUGUAAAGCCCUUUUGUUGGGAAAGAAAAGCAGCAGGUUAAUACCCCGCUGUUCUGACGGUACCCAAAGAAUAAGCACCGGCUAACUUCGUG
rnacentral:rRNA from 1 species